GACGAACGCUGGCGGCGUGCCUAAUACAUGCAAGUCGAGCGAAGCGGUGGAUGGUUGAGUAACGCGUGUUUAACCUGCCCUUAAGUCUGGGAUACCAUUUGGAAACAGAUGCUAAUACCGGAUACUAAAGGAUGGACCUGCGUUUGAUUAGCUAGGUGGUAAGGUAACGGCCUACCAAGGCGAUGAUGCAUAGCCGAGUUGAGAGGCUGAUCGGCCACAUUGGGACUGAGACACGGCCACAGCUCCUACGGGAGGCAGCAGUAGGGAAUCUUCCACAAUGGACGAAAGGCUGAUGGAGCAACGCCGCGUGAGUGAAGAAGGUUUUCGGAUCGGAAAGCUCUGUUGUUGGUGAAGCGGUAAUCAACCAGAAAGUCACGGCUAACUACGUGCCAGCAGCCGCGGUAAUAC
rnacentral:rRNA from 1 species